rnacentral:misc_RNA from 1 species
AAGUCGUAACAAGGUAACCGUAGGUGAACCUGCGGUUGGAUCAUUAUAAAAUGAUAGCCUGUCGGUCUUAGCGGUCUUAGUGAUCCUUUGACUGAUGGGUCAACUACUUUUGUGCACUGUUUAUUGUAUUUGGGUGGAGAAGUCUGCAGAGAGCUUCGGUUCUCGGUGUUCGACUCUGCCCGCAAAUGUUUAACAACCUAUUAUUUUUUGACUGACUUUGAAUUCUAACGAAUGAAAAACAACUUUUAACAACGGAUCUCUAGGCUCUC